AAUCAACGCUGGCGGCGUGCCUAACACAUGCAAGUCGAACGCGAAAACCCCGCAAGGGGUCAGUAGAGUGGCGAACGGGUGAGUAACACGUGGGUGACCUACCUUCGAAUGGGGGAUAACGUCCCGAAAGGGACGCUAAUACCGCAUAACAUCCUGCCUUUGAACAGGUGGAGAUCAAAGCCGGGGAUCGCAAGACCUGGCGUUUGAAGAGGGGCCCGCGUCUGAUUAGCUAGUUGGUGAGGUAACGGCCCACCAAGGCGACGAUCAGUAUCCGGCCUGAGAGGGCGGACGGACACACUGGGGACUGAGACACGGCCCAGACUCCUACGGGAGGCAGCAGUGGGGAAUUGUUCGCAAUGGGCGCAAGCCUGACGACGCAACGCCGCGUGGAGGAUGAAGGUCUUCGGAUUGUAACUCCUGUUGCCCGGG
rnacentral:rRNA from 1 species